CACGUGAGUACUACCUUCGAGCGGGGGACUACAUCUGGAAACGGAUGCUAAUACCGCAUAAGACACAGUACCGCAUGGUACAGUGGCCAAAGGAUUUAUCCACUUGAAGAUGGACUCGCGUCCGAUUAGCUAGAUGGUGAGGUAAUGGCCCACCAUGGCAACGAUCGGUAGCCGGACUGAGAGGUUGAACGGCCACAUUGGGACUGAGACACGGCCCAGACUCCUACGGGAGGCAGCAGUGGGGAAUAUUGCACAAUGGGCGAAAGCCUGAUGCAGCGACGCCGCGUGAGGGAAGAAGGUUUUCGGAUUGUAAACCUCUGUCUUCGGGGACGAUAAUGACGGUACCCGAGGAGGAAGCCACGGCUAACUACGUGCCAGCAGCCGCGGUAAAACGUAGGUGGCAAGCGUUGUCCGGAAUUACUGGGUGUAAAGGGAGCGCAGGCGGAAUGGCAAGUUGAAUGUGAAAACUAUGGGCUCAACCCAUAGACUGCGUUCAAAACUGCUGUUCUUGAGUGAUGUAGAGGUAGGCGGAAUUCCCGGUGUAGCGGUGGAAUGCGUAGAUAUCGGGAGGAACACCAGUGGCGAAGGCGGCCUACUGGGCAUCAACUGACGCUGAGGCUCGAAAGUAUGGGGAGCAAACAGGAUUAGAUACCCUGGUAGUCCAUACCGUAAACGAUGAUUACUAGGUGUGGGGGGAUAGACCCCCUCCGUGCCGCAACUAACGCAAUAAGUAAUCCACCUGGGGAGUAC
rnacentral:rRNA from 1 species